rnacentral:rRNA from 1 species
UACGAAGGGGGCUAGCGUUGCUCGGAAUCACUGGGCGUAAAGCGCACGUAGGCGGAUUGUUAAGUCAGGGGUGAAAUCCUGGAGCUCAACUCCAGAACUGCCUUUGAUACUGGCGAUCUUGAGUCCGGGAGAGGUGAGUGGAACUGCGAGUGUAGAGGUGAAAUUCGUAGAUAUUCGCAAGAACACCAGUGGCGAAGGCGGCUCACUGGCCCGGUACUGACGCUGAUGUGCGAAAGCGUGGGGAGCAAACAGGG